rnacentral:rRNA from 1 species
AUUGAACGCUGGCGGCAUGCCUUACACAUGCAAGUCGAACGACGCCAGGGGGCAACUCCUGGCGAGUGGCGAACGGGUGAGCAAUGCAUCGGAACGUGUCCUCUUGUGGGGGAUAACCAGUCGAAAGAUUGGCUAAUACCGCAUGAGAUCGCGAGAUGAAAGCGGGGGCUCCGCAAGGACCUCGCGCGAGAGGAGCGGCCGAUGCCCGAUUAGCUAGUUGGUGAGGUAACGGCUCACCAAGGCGACGAUCGGUAGCUGGUCUGAGAGGACGACGAGCCACACUGGGACUGAGACACGGCCCAGACUCCUACGGGAGGCAGCAGUGGGGAAUUUUGGACAAUGGGCGCAAGCCUGAUCCAGCCAUGCCGCGUGUGUGAAGAAGGCCUUCGGGUUGUAAGCACUUUCGGACGGAACGAAAUCGCGCGGGUGAACAAUCCGCGUGGAUGACGGUACCGUAAGAAGAAGCACCGGCUAACUACGUGCCAGCAGCCGCAGUAACAC